CGCGUAGCAACGGGGGAGCGUGGCGGAAGUGGGCGCGGUCGCUUAGCAACAGGGCUGCGGACCGGAAGCGGAAGCGGGGUGGCGGAGCCGCGGGGGGGGGGCCGUGUGGCGGCGAUGUCGCUGCGGGCCGUGUACCUGCUGCGCUCGGCUGCCCCCGGAGCCCGCGGCGGGGCCUACGUCGGCUUCAGCCUGGACCCGGAGCGGCGGCUGCGGCAGCACAACGCGGGGCGGCGGCACGGCGGGGCCUGGAGGACGAGCGGCCGCGGGCCCUGGGAGAUGGAGCUCUACGUGCACGGCUUCCCGUCUGACGUGGCGGCGCUGAGGUUUGAGUGGGCGUGGCAGCACCCCUCGGCCUCCCGCCGCCUCCCGGGCAUGUCGCCGCGCCGCCGCCGCGAGCAGCCAAUCGCCUUCGCCCUGCGGCUGCUGCCCCGCCUCCUGCGUGCCCCCCCCUGGAGCCGCCUCCCCCUGCGCCUCCGCUGGCUCCGCCCCCCACCCAGCCCCGCCCCUGGCCCCGCCCCACCCCCGCACGUCGUUGUCGAGGUGGACCCGCGGGGGCUGAGGCCACGCCCCCCGAGGAGGAAGGCCACGCCCCCUGCCGAUUUGGCCACGGCCCCUGCCGCCUUGGCUCCGCCCCCUCCCUGCAGCCUCUGUGGGCUGCCCUGCGAGGGCCCUGACUCCGCCCCCCUGCGCUGCCCGCGGCCCGGCUGCCUGGCGGUGACGCACGCCCUGUGCCUGGCGCCGCGCUUCCUGCGCUCCGAGCCCCGCGAGCUGCUGCCCCUGCGCGGGGCCUGCCCCGGGGAGCUGCCGGGCAGGGGGGCGUGGCCUGUUGCCAGGGUCGGCCCGUUUACCCGGCAACCACUGGCAGCUGCCAGCAGGACGUGCUGUGGGGGGAGCUGAUCCGCCACUACCACGGUUACCAUGACGACGAGGAGGAGGAGGCGGGGCUGGAGGACCCCGAGCUGGGUCACUGGACAGACGAGCUGCGGCUGCGCCAGGGGGCGGGGCCUGCCCGAGGCUCCGCCCCCUGCUGUGCAUCUUAAUUUAUUCUUAAUAAAGGCAGGGGGCAGGGCCUGGUCUGGCCCCGCCCCCACAGGUC